rfam:Dipodomys ordii contig_21971, whole genome shotgun sequence.
GGUGGCUCAGUGGUAGAGCACUUGCCUUGCAUGCUCGAGACCCUGGGUUCAAUUCCUCAGCACCA